rnacentral:rRNA from 1 species
UAUGUGAUCGUCUCUCGCAUAUCAAUAAGCGGAGGAAAAGAAACUAACAAGGAUUCCCCUAGUAACGGCGAGUGAAGCGGGAAGAGCUCAAAUUUGAAAUCUUAAAGGGUUUCCCUUUACGGAAUUGUAGUUUAAAGAAGUGUUUUCUGUUGAGGUUUUGGUAAAAGUUCUUUGGAAUAGGACAUCAUAGAGGGUGAGAAUCCCGUAUUUGACCUUUACUUUCAACUUUGUGAUACACUUUCAAAGAGUCGGAUUGUUUGGGAAUGCAGUCCAAAAUGGGUGGUAAAUUUCAUCUAAAGCUAAAUAUUGGCGAGAGACCGAUAGCGAACAAGUACCGUGAGGGAAAGAUGAAAAGAACUUUGAAAAGAGAGUUAAACAGUACGUGAAAUUGUCAAAAGGGAAGCGUUUGACACCAGUGUUGUUUUUCUGAAAAUCAAUUAAAGAACUGUUUAUGCUAAGCUGUUUAGACUUUAUCAGCUAUCUGUUUAGUUUUGAGCUUUUCUUUAAUGCACUUUUCAGUUAACAAGUCAACAUCAAUUUCUUUUGCUGUAAAAAAGCUUGAGGAAGGUGGCUUGAGAUUCGUCUUAAGUGUUUAUAGCCUCUUGCCUAUGCAGUCGGAGAGAUUGAGGUCUGCAGCGUAGAUCCUUCGGGGCUAAAUGCAUUUGUGCUAAGUUAUAGCAUUUUAUAGACAACUUGUUGACUAUGAUUUGUCUUGUAGCUUACUCGCUUAUGUUAUUUUACCUACGCUUAGGAUGUUGAGCGCAUGUCUCUCUCU